GACGAACCGUGCGAACGUUGUUCGGAUUCACUGGGCUUAAAGGGCGCGUAGGCGGCUUGCCAAGUCAGGGGUGAAAUCUUUCGGCUCAACCGGAAAAGUGCCUUUGAUACUGGCGAGCUAGAGGGGGGUAGGGGGGUCUGGAACUUCCGGUGGAGCGGUGAAAUGCGUUGAGAUCGGAAGGAACGCCCGUGGCGAAAGCGAGGCCCUGGACCCUUACUGACGCUGAGACGCGAAAGCCAGGGGAGCGAACGGG
rnacentral:rRNA from 1 species